rnacentral:rRNA from 1 species
GUCUGGAAAGGCGCGCGAUACAGGGUGACAGCCCCGUACACAAAAAUGCACAUACUGUGAGCUCGAUGAGUAGGGCGGGACACGUGGUAUCCUGUCUGAAUAUGGGGGGACCAUCCUCCAAGGCUAAAUACUCCUGACUGACCGAUAGUGAACCAGUACCGUGAGGGAAAGGCGAAAAGAACCCCGGCGAGGGGAGUGAAAAAGAACCUGAAACCGUGUACGUACAAGCAGUGGGAGCCUCUUUAUGGGGUGACUGCGUACCUUUUGUAUAAUGGGUCAGCGACUUAUAUUCUGUAGCAAGGUUAACCGAAUAGGGGAGCCGAAGGGAAACCGAGUCUUAACUGGGCGUUAAGUUGCAGGGUAUAGACCCGAAACCCGGUGAUCUAGCCAUGGGCAGGUUGAAGGUUGGGUAACACUAACUGGAGGACCGAACCGACUAAUGUUGAAAAAUUAGCGGAUGACUUGUGGCUGGGGGUGAAAGGCCAAUCAAACCGGGAGAUAGCUGGUUCUCCCCGAAAGCUAUUUAGGUAGCGCCUCGUGAAUUCAUCUCCGGGGGUAGAGCACUGUUUCGGCAAGGGGGUCAUCCCGACUUACCAACCCGAUGCAAACUGCGAAUACCGGAGAAUGUUAUCACGGGAGACACACGGCGGGUGCUAACGUCCGUCGUGAAGAGGGAAACAACCCAGACCGCCAGCUAAGGUCCCAAAGUCAUGGUUAAGUGGGAAACGAUGUGGGAAGGCCCAGACAGCCAGGAUGUUGGCUUAGAAGCAGCCAUCAUUUAAAGAAAGCGUAAUAGCUCACUGGUCGAGUCGGCCUGCGCGGAAGAUGUAACGGGGCUAAACCAUGCACCGAAGCUGCGGCAGCGACACU